rnacentral:tRNA from 1 species
GCACUAGUAGCUCAGACACUCAGAGCGCCGGUCUUGUAAACCGGAUGCCGGGGGUUAAAAUCCCCCCUACUGCU